rnacentral:misc_RNA from 1 species
GUCUAUAAUUUCAGUCACAAAUAACUCUGACAAACACAACAAGCGUAAAUUGGUGUGCUCGAGUAACAGGAGCCUUGCGGCUGCCUGCACACGACACAACACACGUAUAAUUUUGUAAUGAUCCUUCCGCAGGUUCACCUACGGAAA